rnacentral:rRNA from 1 species
GCGGUGCGGCGGCUUACCAUGCAGUCGAGCGGAGAGAGGUAGCUUGCUACUGAUCUUAGCGGCGGACGGGUGAGUAAUGCUUAGGAAUCUGCCUAUUAGUGGGGGACAACAUUUCGAAAGGAAUGCUAAUACCGCAUACGUCCUACGGGAGAAAGCAGGGGAUCUUCGGACCUUGCGCUAAUAGAUGAGCCUAAGUCGGAUUAGCUAGUUGGUGGGGUAAAGGCCUACCAAGGCGACGAUCUGUAGCGGGUCUGAGAGGAUGAUCCGCCACACUGGGACUGAGACACGGCCCAGACUCCUACGGGAGGCAGCAGUGGGGAAUAUUGGACAAUGGGCGCAAGCCUGAUCCAGCCAUGCCGCGUGUGUGAAGAAGGCCUUAUGGUUGUAAAGCACUUUAAGCGAGGAGGAGGCUACUUUAGAUAAUACCUAGAGAUAGUGGACGUUACUCGCAGAAUAAGCACCGGCUAACUCUGUGCCAGCAGCCGCGGUAAUACAGAGGGUGCAAGCGUUAAUCGGAUUUACUGGGCGUAAAGCGCGCGUAGGCGGCUAAUUAAGUCAAAUGUGAAAUCCCCGAGCUUAACUUGGGAAUUGCAUUCGAUACUGGUUAGCUAGAGUGUGGGAGAGGAUGGUAGAAUUCCAGGUGUAGCGGUGAAAUGCGUAGAGAUCUGGAGGAAUACCGAUGGCGAAGGCAGCCAUCUGGCCUAACACUGACGCUGAGGUGCGAAAGCAUGGGGAGCAAACAGGAUUAGAUACCCUGGUAGUCCAUGCCGUAAACGAUGUCUACUAGCCGUUGGGGCCUUUGAGGCUUUAGUGGCGCAGCUAACGCGAUAAGUAGACCGCCUGGGGAGUACGGUCGCAAGACUAAAACUCAAAUGAAUUGACGGGGGGCCCGCACAAGCGGUGGAGCAUGUGGUUUAAUUCGAUGCAACGCGAAGAACCUUACCUGGCCCUUGACAUAGUAAGAACUUUCCAGAGAUGGAUUGGUGCCCUUCGGGAACUUACAUACAGGUGCUGCAUGGCUGUCGUCAGCUCGUGUCGUGAGAUGUUGGGUUAAGUCCCGCAACGAGCGCAACCCUUUUUCUUAUUUGCCAGCGAGUUAUGUCGGCACUUUACGGAUACUGCAGUGACCAACCUGGAGGAGCAGGACGACGUCAGUCAUCAUGAUCUAACGGACCAGGACUC